UGGGGAAUAUUGGACAAUGGGCGAAAGCCUGAUCCAGCCAUGCCGCGUGAGUGAUGAAGGCCCUAGGGUUGUAAAGCUCUUUCAGUGGGGAAGAUAAUGACGGUACCCACACAAGAAGCCCCGGCUAACUUCGUGCCAGCAGCCGCGGUAAUACGAAGGGGGCUAGCGUUGUCCGGACUUACUGGGCGUAAAGCGCACGCAGGUGGUAGCGCAAGUGGGGUGUGAAAGCCGCCAGCUUAACUGGCGGAGGCCAUCCCAAACUGCGUCACUUGAGGCCUGUAGAGGUAUGUGGAAUUGCCGGUGUAGUGGUGAAAUGCGUGGAGAUCGGCAGGAACACCCAGGGGGAAACCAGCAUACUGGACAGGUCCUGACACUCAGGUGCGAUAGCGUGGGGAGCGAACCGGAUUAGAUACCCCCGUAGUCC
rnacentral:rRNA from 1 species